UUUGAAUGUAAAAUUUUAUGCUAAAGAAUUAUUAGUUAUGUUCUUUAAAUUUAAAAAAUUUGGCGGUAUUUUAGUCUAUUCAGAGGAACCUGUUCUAUAAAUGAUAGUCCACGAUUAGUUUUACUUAAAUUAAAAGUUUGUAUAUCGUUGUUUAAAAAAUUUUAUAAGAAAAAUAAUUUUUGAGAGAUUUAAUUAGAUUAUUAUUCAAAUCAAGGUGCAGCUUAUAUUUAAGAAGAAAUGGGUUACAAUAAUUAUUAAUUAAAUGGAUUUUAAGUUUAAAAUUUUUAUGAAGGUGGAUUUGAUAGUAAAUUUAUUUAUUUAAAUAAAUUGAUUUAAGCUCUAAAAUAUGU
rnacentral:rRNA from 1 species